rnacentral:lncRNA from 1 species
UACACAAGAUUUUAAUUUCCAAUAUAAUUGUUUUGCAGGUUUGAGUAUUGAUUGGUGAAAAAUUAGCUAAAAGUGUGAUAGUCGUUUGUUUAAUUUGAAUUUGAUUUGAUUUGAUUUGAUUUUUUUUUUUUUUUUUAAUUUUUUUAUCAAGGACUUCCAAUUUUGAUCGUCACUAUUUUUUAAGAAAUUUGAAUCAACUUACAAUUUAAAAGAAUAUAUAAAAAUAAAUUCAUAAUGUAUAAAAACAUAGUUUCUGCACAUGUGCAGCACUAGAGACAAUACUUAUGCUCUCUCUUUUUAUUUAUUUGAUUCUUGCUUGUCAAGUUGCAUGCAUUGUCAACUAAUUCAUCUUUUCUCCUAAGGUUCCUUUAUUCUUCUUGCUAUGAUUGCACUCUUUCAACUUGUACAAUUCACAUACAUCUUCUUCCACUUGCCCUUUUUAAAAAGGAUCUCAUCUUAGUUAAUUUUUAUCACAGUCACUUUCUCCAUCCACCAUGCAAGGAAAGAAUGUAAUCUGGACUGAAAGCUUCAGAUACAUGUAAAGAGCAGGCAAGUCUUGUCCACAGCUAUACUUGCUGAAGAAGUAUGUAUCAUGUUACUUGAGUAAAGGAAGGAAAGAAAUGAAACACACACCCUUCUAACUAUCUGACAUGCACUGAAUUUCUGAUUUUUGUUACUUU